CUUGUACUCCCUCCGUCCGAAAAUACUUGUGAUUGAAAUGGAUGUAUCUAGAUGUAUUUUAGUUCUAGACACAUCCAUUUUGAUGACAAGUAAUUCCGGACGGAGGGAGUACUUG
rnacentral:pre_miRNA from 1 species